rnacentral:rRNA from 1 species
CUCCUACGGGAGGCAGCAGUGGGGAAUAUUGGACAAUGGGCGAAAGCCUGAUCCAGCCAUGCCGCGUGUGUGAAGAAGGCCUUUUGGUUGUAAAGCACUUUAAGCGAGGAGGAGGCUACUUAGAUUAAUACUCUAGGAUAGUGGACGUUACUCGCAGAAUAAGCACCGGCUAACUCUGUGCCAGCAGCCGCGGUAAUACAGAGGGUGCGAGCGUUAAUCGGAUUUACUGGGCGUAAAGCGUGCGUAGGCGGCUUCUUAAGUCGGAUGUGAAAUCCCUGAGCUUAACUUAGGAAUUGCAUUCGAUACUGGGAAGCUAGAGUAUGGGAGAGGAUGGUAGAAUUCCAGGUGUAGCGGUGAAAUGCGUAGAGAUCUGGAGGAAUACCGAUGGCGAAGGCAGCCAUCUGGCCUAAUACUGACGCUGAGGUACGAAAGCAUGGGGAGCAAACAGGAUUAGAUACCCUGGUAGUCCAUGCCGUAAACGAUGUCUACUAGCCGUUGGGGCCUUUGAGGCUUUAGUGGCGCAGCUAACGCGAUAAGUAGACCGCCUGGGGAGUACGGUCGCAAGACUAAAACUCAAAUGAAUUGACGGGGGCCCGCACAAGCGGUGGAGCAUGUGGUUUAAUUCGAUGCAACGCGAAGAACCUUACCUGGUCUUGACAUAGUAAGAACUUUCCAGAGAUGGAUUGGUGCCUUCGGGAACUUACAUACAGGUGCUGCAUGGCUGUCGUCAGCUCGUGUCGUGAGAUGUUGGGUUAAGUCCCGCAACGAGCGCAACCCUUUUCCUUAUUUGCCAGCGGGUUAAGCCGGGAACUUUAAGGAUACUGCCAGUGACAAACUGGAGGAAGGCGGGGACGACGUCAAGUCAUCAUGGCCCUUACGACCAGGGCUACACACGUGCUACAAUGGUCGGUACAAAGGGUUGCUACCUAGCGAUAGGAUGCUAAUCUCAAAAAGCCGAUCGUAGUCCGGAUUGGAGUCUGCAACUCGACUCCAUGAAGUCGGAAUCGCUAGUAAUCGCGGAUCAGAAUGCCGCGGUGAAUACGUUCCCGGGCCUUGCACACACCGCCCGU